rnacentral:lncRNA from 12 species
GUUGGGUAGAGGAGGAAACAGUCCAAAGCUGAGGCAAGAGAAGUCUUUCUUGGGUUUUCCCCAGGGUCUGGGUGCUUUGCAUGGCCACAAGAUGGGCAGGAAAACCAGCAGGAAAGACUUUGAUCCAGCCAUGCCGGUCAUGCUGCUGCUCCAGCUCCCACCAGGACCAAGUGCUCCCAUGCCACUGAAGAAGUGAGUGUCCCUUCUACCCCAGCAUCUUGCCCCUGAUAAUAACUGGGCUGAAACCCACGAGUUUAGGUCGAAUAUCCCUCAUUUUGUAAAAGUUUUCCUGCUGACAGCUUUGGGUGAGCUGAUUUUCUGCGCUAGGAGAAGGGCAUGAACCCAGCAUUGCUUAUGCAAUGGGGAGAGUGAGACUUUUGCAUCCCAGGGUUUUAUACUUCUGCUGCUUUAUGAGAAAUGACAUUUCUGGGAAAGAUUUUGCCGCCAGUUACUGUGGGAGCUCGACGUUCUUCUUGAGCAAGCUGACGGCCGCGUGUCUGGAGACAUGAGAGUUAAUUUUAAAACAUCCGGCAUCCGUAUCGGCAGGGAGGAAGGUUCCCUUCAUUUCCUAAGCACCAGCAAAACCUAAGCUUCUAAACCCUAAUCCCCCUCUAAGCUGGAGCUGCCAAGCCAGGGCCAAGGGCAGAGAAAAACCCGUGCCAUGUAACCAGGCCAAGUUGCCCUGUUCUUUGGUGAACCUGCAGCAGGAUGGACGUGAGCUCUCUCCAUCCAUCCAUCCAUCCAUCCAGGAGCCGACCCGUGGGUCAGGCUCCUCCUGAGCCCCCAGCUUUUUGGUCACGCUUUGCCAUGCCACCCUCCGAGACCGCGCUGUCUCUAUGCCUGUCCUUCUGCAGCUUGGGCACCCCAAGGAGAAUGGGGCAGGCAGGGAGGGAGCUGACAGGCGCCAGGGCUGGUCCCAGCCGCGGGAGAGCUCUCGGCUCAGCCUCGCAACGCCCGGGGCACCAUCCAGGACCCAGAAACCCGGGGCAGCGCGUUCCGUGCCGGGAACAGCGCGGCUCCGGGGGUGUCCCAGGCUGGAGGGUGGCCCCGGGGGUCGCCGUCCCCGCUCCGCACCCCGACCCGCUCCGCACCCCGCUCCGCUCCCUCCGCGCCGCUCCGCACCCGCGGGGCUGACGUCACCCUGCCCUGCGCCGCCCGCGCUGAUUGGCUGCGGGUGACGUCAACGCUGUCUCUUUUUUUUUUCUUUUUUUUUUGGGGGGGGGGGGGGGG